rnacentral:sRNA from 1 species
ACGAAGCUUACGUUUCUGAGGGUGAUAC